rnacentral:rRNA from 1 species
GGACGACGCUGGCGGCGUGCUUAACACAUGCAAGUCGAACGGAAAGGCCCAGCUUGCUGGGUACUCGAGUGGCGAACGGGUGAGUAACACGUGGGUGAUCUGCCCCAAACUUCGGGAUAAGCCUGGGAAACUGGGUCUAAUACCGGAUAUGACCUGCUCCUGCAGUGGGGGUUGGUGGAAAGCUUUUGCGGUUUGGGAUGGGCCCGCGGCCUAUCAGCUUGUUGGUGGGGUAAUGGCCUACCAAGGCGACGACGGGUAGCCGACCUGAGAGGGUGAUCGGCCACACUGGGACUGAGACACGGCCCAGACUCCUACGGGAAGCAGCAGUGGGGAAUAUUGCACAAUGGGCGCAAGCCUGAUGCAGCGACGCCGCGUGAGGGAUGACGGCCUUCGGGUUGUAAACCUCUUUCGCCAGGGACGAAGCGCAAGUGACGGCACCUGGAGAAGAAGCACCGGCCAACUACGUG